GCAUGCCCGGCCGAGUGGUUAGUGUGUUGUUUGUUAUACUUGAGGUCUCCGGUUCGAAUCCGGUUCCACGCA
rnacentral:tRNA from 1 species